AGUUUGAUCCUGGCUCAGGAUGAACGCUAGCGGCAGGCCUAAUACAUGCAAGUCGAACGGUAACAUGAGUAGCAAUACUUGAUGACGAGUGGCGCACGGGUGCGUAACGCGUAUGCAAUCUACCUUUAACUGGUGAAUAGCCCGAAGAAAUUCGGAUUAAUACACCAUAAUAUAUUGAUGUGGCAUCACAUUGAUAUUAAAACUCCGGUGGUUAGAGAUGAGCAUGCGUGACAUUAGCUAGUUGGUGAGGUAAUGGCUCACCAAGGCUACGAUGUCUAGGGGAUCUGAGAGGAUUAACCCCCACACUGGUACUGAGACAGGGACCAGACUCCUACGGGAGGCAGCAGUAAGGAAUAUUGGACAAUGGUCGCAAGACUGAUCCAGCCAUGCCGCGUGCAGGAUGACGGCCCUAUGGGUUGUAAACUGCUUUUAUACGGGAAAAAACCCCUCUACGUGUAGAGGGCUGAUUGUACUGUAAGAAUAAGGAUCGGCUAACUCCGUGCCAGCAGCCGCGGUAAUACGGAGGAUCCAAGCGUUAUCCGGAUUCAUUGGGUUUAAAGGGUGCGUAGGCGGAAUGAUAAGUCAGUGGUGAAAGCCCUCAGCUUAACUGAGGAACUGCCAUUGAUACUGUCAAUCUUGAGUACAUUUGAUGUGGGCGGAAUGUGUCAUGUAGCG
rnacentral:rRNA from 1 species